UACGUAGGGUGCAAGCGUUAAUCGGAAUUACUGGGCGUAAAGCGUGCGCAGGCGGUUAUGUAAGACAGAUGUGAAAUCCCCGGGCUCAACCUGGGAACUGCAUUUGUGACUGCAUAGCUAGAGUACGGUAGAGGGGGAUGGAAUUCCGCGUGUAGCAGUGAAAUGCGUAGAUAUGCGGAGGAACACCGAUGGCGAAGGCAAUCCCCUGGACCUGUACUGACGCUCAGGCACGAAAGCGUGGGGAGCAAACAGG
rnacentral:rRNA from 1 species